GAUGAACGCUGGCGGCGUGCCUAAUACAUGCAAGUCGAGCGAACAGACGAGGAUCUUGCUCCUCUGACGUUAGCGGCGGACGGGUGAGUAACACGUGGAUAACCUACCUAUAAGACUGGUAUAACUUCGGGAAACCGGAGCUAAUACCGGAUAAUAUAUUGAACCGCAUGGUUCAAUAGUGAAAGACGGUUUUGCUGUCACUUAUAGAUGGAUCCGCGCCGCAUUAGCUAGUUGGUAAGGUAACGGCUUACCAAGGCAACGAUGCGUAGCCGACCUGAGAGGGUGAACGGCCACACUGGAAGUGAGACACGGUCCCGACUCCUACGGGAGGCAGCAGCAGGGAAUCUUCCGCAAUGGGCGAAAGCCUGACGGAGCAACGCCGCGUGAGUGAUGAAGGUCUUCGGAUCGUAAAACUCUGUAAUUAGGGAAGAACAAAUAUGUAAGUAACUAUGCACGUCUUGACGGUACCUAAUCAGAAAGCCACGGCUAACUACGUG
rnacentral:rRNA from 1 species